GGGAAGUUGGCUCAGUGGUAGAGUGCUUGCUUCACAUGCAUGAGGUCCUGGGUUCUAUUCCCAGUACCA
rnacentral:tRNA from 1 species